AAUGAACGUUGGCGGCAUGGAUUAGGCAUGCAAGUCGAGCGGUAAGGCCCCGCAAGGGGUACACGAGCGGCGUAAGGGACAGUAAUGUGUAGGUACGUACCUCCGGGCCUGGGAUAGCUGCGGGAAACUGCAAUUAAUACCAGAUGAUGUCUCCGGACCAAAGGUGUGAUUCCGCCGGGAGAGCGGCCUACAUCCUAUUAGCUAGUUGGCGGGGUAACGGCCCACCAAGGCUCAGAUGGGUAGCAGGUGUGAGAGCACGACCUGCGUCACUGGGACUGAGACACUGCCCAGACACCUACGGGUGGCUGCAGUCGAGAAUCUUCGGCAAUGAGCGCAAGCUUGACCGAGCAAUGCCGCGUGCGGGAUGAAGGCCUCGGGUUGUAAACCGCUGUCAGAGGGAACGAAAGUUUACAGUGGGUUCUCCCAUUGGAUUGACUGAUCCUCAAA
rnacentral:rRNA from 1 species